rnacentral:rRNA from 1 species
UAGGAUAGAGGCCUACCAUGGUGGUAACGGGUAACGGGGUGUUAGGGCACGACACCGGAGAGGGAGCCUGAGAAACGGCUACCACAUCCAAGGAUGGCAGCAGGCGCGCAAAUUACCCAAUCCCGACACGGGGAGGUAGUGACAAUAAAUAACAAUACGGGGUUCUUUCGGAUUUCGUAAUUGGAAUGAGUACAAUUUAAAUCUCUUAACGAGGAACAAUUGGAGGGCAAGUCUGGUGCCAGCAGCCGCGGUAAUUCCAGCUCCAAUAGCGUAUAUUAAAGUUGCUGCAGUUAAAAAGCUCGUAGUUGAAUUUCGGGACCAAUAUGUCGGUCGUGCCUCGGUACGUACUGGCAUCGUUGGUUUCUCCCUUCUGACGAACCAUGAUGUCAUUUAUUUGGUGUCGUGGGGAAUCAGGACUGUUACUUUGAAAAAAUUAGGGUGUUUAAAGCAGGCUCACGCUUGAGUACAUUAGCAUGGAAUAAUGAAAUAGGACGUUUGAUUCUAUUUUGUUGGUUUCUAGGAUCGACGUAAUGAUUAAUAGGGAUAGUUGGGGGCAUUAGUAUUCAAUUGUCAGAGGUGAAAUUCUUGGAUUUAUUGAAGACUAACUACUGCGAAAGCAUUUGCCAAGGAUGUUUUCAUUAAUCAAGAACGAAAGUUAGGGGAUCGAAGACGAUCAGAUACCGUCGUAGUCUUAACCAUAAACUAUGCCGACUAGGGAUCGGAUGAUGUUAAUUUUUUAAUGACUCAUUCGGCGCCUUACGGGAAACAA